GGCAGCCUCCGCUGGGCUAGCUCUCAGGUUUGCUGUUGACUGACCAAAUGAUUGAUGCCUGUGUUUAUGGAGAACCCUGCUAGGGUCUGCCCUGUGCACCCCCUUUCGGCUGCCACUCUGGUUUCCAUUUGCAGGGCCCAGAGGCUCCCACUUCCCAGUGGGUUCUUGUAUAUGCAGAUGCUGGAGGGGUGUGGUCUAGCCUCUCCCUUUCCUACCUUGUCAUAUACUUCUUGCUGUGCUGACUGAGUGCCUCUUGGGCAUGAAAGGGUGUGCCCGCCCACCUCUGUGCCCUGUAAGUACCAGGCUGAGGCUGGUUGGCCCAUCUAUGAGUUAAGGACCAAGCAGAGAGUAUCUACAAAGUGAAUAUUGACUUAGGGACUGUCUUACUUAGGGUUUCUAUUGCUGUGAUGAAACACCAUGACCAAAUGCAAGCUGGGGAGGAAAGGGUUUAUUUGGCUUACACUUCAGCAUUGCUGUUCAUCCCUGAAGGAAGUCAGGACAAGAACUCAAACAGGGCAGGAUCCCGGAGGCAGGAGCUGGUGCAGAGGCCAUGAAAGGGAGCUGCUUACUGGCUUGCUCCCCGUGGCUUGCUCAAGUCCACCUUCUUAUAGAAUCCAGGACCAGCAGCCCAGGGAUGGCACCACUCACCCUGGGCUGGGCCCUCCCCCACUGGUUACUAAUUGAGAAAAUGCCUUACAGCUGGAGCUCGAGGAGACAUUCCUCAGCUGAGACUCCUUCCUCUGCCCACUCUAGCUUGUGUCAAGUUGACACACAAAACCAGCCAUUACAGGGAGUCACUGCGGGUAACUAGGAGAAACCUCCCCAUUCCUAGCUUUAGGGCAGGACUGUGAACACCGGCUGUGGCCAGUGAAGAGGAACCUGCAUCACAUCCUGGAAGUUCCAUCGUCAUGAGCCUGUGUCUCCAAAGGCCAUGCUGCUGCUUCAUCAGCUGCAGGAUGGUGGGAGGAGAUCAGGAACAGUGGCCUCCAGGAAGAGGAGGUGGAGGCUGCUGACCCCCACUGAACACGCCUGUCUUCAAAAGCAAAAUCGAAUGCAACGUCUUCACAUGGUUACACCGCGAUGCACACAGAACUCAAGUCAUAGCCAAGUUCCUGGUCAGGGAAGACUGCAGCUGUGUGGCCCCAUUCUCAGUCACGCCCCCGGAGCGAAGUCACGCUGCUCUGGUACUCUCCACUGGAAGCCACACUUCCAGUCCACACCGACUGAGAUGGCUUUCACAACUGGCUUUUUCCUGAGACCUGCAUUUGUAACAGUGUCCCGGCCACACAUGGGAACCUCACUGGCUCUCCAGCCUCACCACUGCCUGCUCUACCUGGGAGACCCUUUGUGACUACUACUGGCCCGGCUGACGAUGGCCCAGGAGUGAUGAAGUCCACUGCGCUCUUCUUUGCCUUUAGCUGGACCUUGCAUUGUGGAAGGUUGUCCUGGCCAGCAGGUGACAGUUCAGCUCUGCCCUGGAAGCCCCCGGAAUGCUCUUUACAGUGGAAGGAGGAGCUUGCUGUCAGGUCUGAGUGAAAGGGUCAUCUUAACUUUUGUGCCCCCCAAGACUGCCAGCCUAGUGGCCUCCCCACAUCUAGGGUCAAUCCCUCAGGACUCCCUCCGAGUGCAAACUUCUGAAAUGAGUCCUCAAGAACAGGUGCUGAGUGCAGACAGGCUUUUCUGCCCAGAUUGUUACCCCCUCCAUGUAUACAGUGAGGCCACUUGCUUUCUCAAGGCUCCUGUAGAGGGGGCUCCCACUGUUUCUGAUGCUGCAUGGGGGUGGGGGUGGGUGGAAUGCCAGAGGUCUCCCUUGCUUUCUGUCUGUGGCUUUCUCUCACUUCCUUGGCCUCAGGGCCUUGCCUGGGUUCCUAGAGAGAGGCUGUGUGUGUGUGGGGGUGGGUAGCCUUUUGGAGUGUGGGGGCAUUUGGUCUCCCUCGAAACUACAACUUCUUGAAGGCUUUCAGCUGUGGGGUAUGGCCCCCUGCAAAUCCCCUGAGGCCUUGUGCCUGCUUCUCCAAGACUCACAUAGGGACAUAAAAAGUGAUUUCCCGCAGAAGCGGAGCCUUUAAUCGACAUUUGCCUUUUAUGAACAGUUUUAUUACAAAGUAGAUUUCCUGCAGCCUUCUCCAUCAGCCGACCCACAAGGCCCCAAUGGCUGCCUGUGUCAGUAGGGUUUCUAAUUGCAGGGGAGGGGACCAGGGUAAGCUCCUUCUGCCAAGACUGGCCCAUCUCUGGCUCAGAAAUCCCCUGGGUUCUGACCUCCUGGACGGGUCCUCAUGACAGGCAUCCUGUGACACCAUAUUACUCUGAGAACAAGAAGAUGCGGUGUGUGUGUGUGUGUGUGUGUGUGUGUGUGUGUGUGUGUGUGUGUGUGUGUGGCAGCUGUGGCCUCAGGCAGCAUCAGUGUGUCUUACUGCAAGUCAGGACCUUCCUGGGUUACCUGUGCAUGCCAAGGUCCUAGCUGCCUGUGGCCCCUCCUGCUCACAGUGACAUUAUCACAGACAAGGAAGUCUUGGAGGCCCAGCAAUUCUCUGGAAGUCCCCAGGGGGGUGUGGUAGUGUGGAUAGGAUUGUCUCACUCCAGCACCUGAAUCCAUGGCUCUGAGGGUCAGCUGCCAGCUGUAGAGCCCUGGCCUGUCUGUAGAUCUUGGGCAGAGAGGCUCAGAAUCAGUGAGAUGGGGGACAAGUUGGCCUUGAGGAAGGGAGGGUUCUCAGAUCUGGCCUUGGAUGAUGUCUUAGUCGGAUCUGUCAAUGUGACAAGAUAUCCAAGGUGUCAUCGGGAAGAAUGGUUCAUUUGUCUCUGUUUCAGAGACCUCAGUCCUGCUCUUGGGCCUGUGGUGGCACAAGGCACUGUGAUGGGAAACUCUCUACCUCAGGGAGGAGGGGACAAGAAGGGAUGGGGAUCUCAGUAAGACGACCUGACUCCCUCCUGCGUGGCCCCACUUUUGAAAUGUCACACCACCUCCUUAUCACCACACAUGUGGCUGGCCAAACCUUUGUCACUAAGGCCUUAGGAGAACAUUCCAGAGCUAGCUGUAGUAGAUGGUCAGCUGGGCUGAGGAGUCCUGGCUGUAGUCUGGGCCAUGGUCUUAUUGACUAAUGUCACCAAGUGUCCUCCCUGGAACCCUGUUUGGGCAGAGUCCCUAAAGAGAACUGCAUAUGACCAGAAAUGGAUGGGGACAUAUGGUGGCCCCUCGUUUCUGAGACUUACCUGCAAAACUUUUCUCCUGUGGGAUGGACCUUCUCCAGAGCUGGGCAGGCAUCAGCUAGACUCAAGGUCCGCAGGAAAGGCAGGAGACUCGCUGAGGGCGGCAAGCUGGGGGCUGACUUACAGCUCAGCCCUGACUAGAACCUUCCACAGCAUGGAGCAGCAUGGAGCAAAGCCCCUGCCUCCAUCUGACCCUCCUUUUCUACCACCACAGAAGUCACCCCUUAUUCCCUGCUCCCUGGGAGGAGGGCUUAGGUUCCUCUUGAAGGCUAUAUGUCCUAGAGGUUAGAGGGAGCGGAGAAAGAGGCUGAAAGCACAGCUCAGAGAGGGAAAGGGGGAGAAGUGGGGACCCAGACGGGCACCUGGCCUCCUGAUAAGGCGGUGACCAAAGAGGCCUUGCCCUCAGAGCCUGUUGCAUUGGCGGUUCUGACUUCACCUUCACACUCAUCCUUCACUUCCUCACUCUUUUGGGUCACUCUUUCAAUAGUUGCUGGGCCUUGCAGACUCCUGCUGAGAUGCUGGGGUCAGAGAAACACAGAGCUUGAUCAGAGUGACCAGGCUGCUCAGACACCGGGGACAGCGGCUGACAGAUCACAUCUGAUGGAUCAUUCCAGGGGAAAAUCAAAAGACAACCUAGUAAGUACAAGGGAAGAAAGAUACUUUGGAGAAGACUCUGACACUGAAGUCCAGAGGGGCCCCCUAAGCCUGAGAGGAGAGUGAGCUGAAAGAGCGUUUCAUUGGGAAAACAAACUGAUAAAAUUACAGCAUGCAUCCCCCAUAAAUGCUGAUAAAUCAACCUAGAGGUGCGGUUAUAACCUAGCUCUUGGAACUGGAGAGAUGGCCUAGAGAUUAAGAGCACUGGCCACUCUUCAGAGGCCCCUGCUUUGAUUCCCAGCGCCCACAUGACAGUGUGCAACUAUCUGUUCACUUCAGUUCCAAGGGUCCAAAGCCCUCUUCUGGCUUCUGUUGUCAUUGCAUGGUAUACAAAUGUACAUGUAGGCAAAACACCUACACACACAGAAUAAAUAUAAAUCUUACACAAAACCCAAACUUCCACCUAUU